rnacentral:rRNA from 1 species
CUACGGGGGGCUGCAGUGGGGAAUAUUGCGCAAUGGGCGAAAGCCUGACGCAGCAACGCCGCGUGUGUGACGAAGGCCUUCGGGUCGUAAAGCACUGUUGAGGGGAACGAGCCGGCGGAGGUUAAUAGCCUUCGCCCCGACGGUACCCCUUUAGAAAGCACCGGCUAACUCCGUGCCAGCAGCCGCGGUAAUACGGAGGAGUGCAAGCGUUGUUCGGAAUUAUUGGGCGUAAAGCGCACGUAGGCGGAAUGUUAAGUCUGAUGUGAAAGCCCUCGGCUCAACCGAGGAAUUGCAUUGGAUACUGGCAAUCUUGAGUCCUGGAGAGGGUGGCGGAAUUCCCAGUGUAGAGGUGAAAUUCGUAGAUAUUGGGAGGAACACCGGUGGCGAAGGCGGCCACCUGGACAGUGACUGACGCUGAGGUGCGAAAGCGUGGGUAGCAAACAGGAUUAGAUACCCCGGUAGUC